GAUGAACGCUGGCGGCGUGCCUAAUACAUGCAAGUCGAGCGAACAGAUAAGGAGCUUGCUCCUUUGAAGUUAGCGGCGGACGGGUGAGUAACACGUGGGUAACCUACCUAUAAGACUGGGAUAACUUCGGGAAACCGGAGCUAAUACCGGAUAACAUUUAGAACCGCAUGGUUCUAAAGUGAAAGAUGGUUUUGCUAUCACUUAUAGAUGGACCCGCGCCGUAUUAGCUAGUUGGUAAGGUAACGGCUUACCAAGGCGACGAUACGUAGCCGACCUGAGAGGGUGAUCGGCCACACUGGAACUGAGACACGGUCCAGACUCCUACGGGAGGCAGCAGUAGGGAAUCUUCCGCAAUGGGCGAAAGCCUGACGGAGCAACGCCGCGUGAGUGAUGAAGGGUUUCGGCUCGUAAAACUCUGUUAUUAGGGAAGAACAAAUGUGUAAGUAACUGUGCACAUCUUGACGGUACCUAAUCAGAAAGCCACGGCUAACUACGUGCCAGCAGCCGCGGUAAUACGUAGGUGGCAAGCGUUAUCCGGAAUUAUUGGGCGUAAAGCGCGCGUAGGCGGUUUCUUAAGUCUGAUGUGAAAGCCCACGGCUCAACCGUGGAGGGUCAUUGGAAACUGGGAAACUUGAGUGCAGAAGAGGAAAGUGGAAUUCCAUGUGUAGCGGUGAAAUGCGCAGAGAUAUGGAGGAACACCAGUGGCGAAGGCGACUUUCUGGUCUGUAACUGACGCUGAUGUGCGAAAGCGUGGGGAUCAAACAGGAUUAGAUACCCUGGUAGUCCACGCCGUAAACGAUGAGUGCUAAGUGUUAGGGGGUUUCCGCCCCUUAGUGCUGCAGCUAACGCAUUAAGCACUCCGCCUGGGGAGUACGACCGCAAGGUUGAAACUCAAAGGAAUUGACGGGGACCCGCACAAGCGGUGGAGCAUGUGGUUUAAUUCGAAGCAACGCGAAGAACCUUACCAAAUCUUGACAUCCUUUGAAAACUCUAGAGAUAGAGCCUUCCCCUUCGGGGGACAAAGUGACAGGUGGUGCAUGGUUGUCGUCAGCUCGUGUCGUGAGAUGUUGGGUUAAGUCCCGCAACGAGCGCAACCCUUAAGCUUAGUUGCCAUCAUUAAGUUGGGCACUCUAGGUUGACUGCCGGUGACAAACCGGGAGGAAGGUGGGGAUGACGUCAAAUCAUCAUGCCCCUUAUGAUUUGGGCUACACACGUGCUACAAUGGACAAUACAAAGGGCAGCUAAACCGCGAGGUCAUGCAAAUCCCAUAAAGUUGUUCUCAGUUCGGAUUGUAGUCUGCAACUCGACUACAUGAAGCUGGAAUCGCUAGUAAUCGUAGAUCAGCAUGCUACGGUGAAUACGUUCCCGGGUCU
rnacentral:rRNA from 1 species